rnacentral:rRNA from 1 species
CGGGACGGGUGAGUAAUGUCUGGGAAACUGCCUGAUGGAGGGGGGUAACUACUGGAAACGGUAGCUAAUACCGCAUAACGUCGCAAGACAAAGAGGGGGACCUUCGGGCCUCUUGCCAUCGGAUGUGCCCAGAUGGGAUUAGCUAGUAGGUGGGGUAACGGCUCACCUAGGCGACGAUCCCUAGCUGGUCUGAGAGGAUGACCAGCCACACUGGAACUGAGACACGGUCCAG